rnacentral:rRNA from 1 species
GUUAAAGCGUGGGGUGAUGGCGUGCCUUUUGAAGAAUGAGCCUGCGAGUCAGGGACAUGUCGCGAGGUUAACCCGUGUGGGGUAGCCGUAGCGAAAGCGAGUCUGAAUAGGGCGUAUCCACACAACAGUGUGUGGUGUAGUGGUGUGUUCUGGACCCGAAGCGGAGUGAUCUACCCAUGGCCAGGGUGAAGCGCGGGUAAGACCGCGUGGAGGCCCGAACCCACUUAGGUUGAAGACUGAGGGGAUGAGUUGU